rnacentral:lncRNA from 1 species
CACCGCGAUGUUUUGGAUAGGGAUAACUAUCCACCACCACCUCAUGCUGUUGGUGUAUGGCCACAUUCAAGAAGAAGAAGUUAUGAAGAAGAAAUUCCCGUUGAUAGGGAUAGGAGACAUGAGAAACAAUACAUUGAUUCAUAUCAUGAGAUGGAUAACUUUCGUGAUCAUGAGAUGGAUAACUUUCGUGAUCAUGAGAUUGAUACAUUUCAGGAAUUUGAUAAAUUUCGAGAUAGCUAUCGCAGUGUUGAUAGCUAUCGUGAUCCUGGAUUUGACAGGAUUGCAAGGCUUGGUGGACGUGAUCGUGAUGAUUAUGCAUAUGAUGAUUUUGACUAUAGGUCCCGUGCUACCCAUCAAAACAGAGAGGAGAGUCGUGAAAGGGAUUAUGACUAUGGCCGACACAGUUAUGAUUCUGAUUAUGACAGAGGUAGUAGGAGAGAUAGCAAUUGGAGGCGUCGUGGAU